GUGAGAGUAAACUAAAAAAGUUAUUAGGUUCAUACCCUGAGUAUAGAGUUUGUUCUCUCUCUCAUU
rnacentral:tRNA from 1 species